rnacentral:rRNA from 1 species
AUUGAACGCUGGCGGCAGGCUUAACACAUGCAAGUCGAACGGCAGCACGGACUUCGGUCUGGUGGCGAGUGGCGAACGGGUGAGUAAUACAUCGGAACGUGCCCAAUCGUGGGGGAUAACGUAGCGAAAGCUACGCUAAUACCGCAUACGAUCUAAGGAUGAAAGCGGGGGAUCGCAAGACCUCGCGCGAUUGGAGCGGCCGAUGGCAGAUUAGGUAGUUGGUAGGGUAAAGGCCUACCAAGCCGACGAUCUGUAGCUGGUCUGAGAGGAUGAUCAGCCACACUGGGACGGAGACACGGCCCAGACUCCUACGGGAGGCAGCAGUGGGGAAUUUUGGACAAUGGACGCAAGUCUGAUCCAGCCAUUCCGCGUGCAGGAUGAAGGCCCUCGGGUUGUAAACUGCUUUUGUACAGAACGAAAAGGCUCUGGUUAAUACCUAGGGCUCAUGACGGUACUGUAAGAAUAAGCACCGGCUAACUACGUGCCAGCAGCCGCGGUAA